GAUGAACGCUGGCGGCGUGCCUAAUACAUGCAAGUCGAGCGAACAGACGAGGAGCUUGCUCCUCUGACGUUAGCGGCGGACGGGUGAGUAACACGUGGAUAACCUACCUAUAAGACUGGGAUAACUUCGGGAAACCGGAGCUAAUACCGGAUAAUAUAUUGAACCGCAUGGUUCAAUAGUGAAAGACGGUUUUGCUGUCACUUAGAGAUGGAUCCGCGCCGCAUUAGCUAGUUGGUAAGGUAACGGCUUACCAAGGCGACGAUGCGUAGCCGACCUGAGAGGGUGAUCGGCCACACUGGAACUGAGACACGGUCCAGACUCCUACGGGAGGCAGCAGUAGGGAAUCUUCCGCAAUGGGCGAAAGCCUGACGGAGCAACGCCGCGUGAGUGAUGAAGGUCUUCGGAUCGUAAAACUCUGUUAUUAGGGAAGAACAAAUGUGUAAGUAACUAUGCACGUCUUGACGGUACCUAAUCAGAAAGCCACGGCUAACUACGUG
rnacentral:rRNA from 1 species